GACGAACGCUGGCGGCGUGCUUAACACAUGCAAGUCGAACGGAAAGGCCCUGCUUUUGUGGGGUGCUCGAGUGGCGAACGGGUGAGUAACACGUUAGUAACCUGCCCUUGACUUUGGGAUAACUUCAGGAAACUGGGGCUAAUACCGGAUAGGAGCUCCUGCUGCAUGGUGGGGGUUGGAAAGUUUCGGCGGUUGGGGAUGGACUCGCGGCUUAUCAGCUUGUUGGUGGGGUAGUGGCUUACCAAGGCUUUGACGGGUAGCCGGCCUGAGAGGGUGACCGGCCACAUUGGGACUGAGAUACGGCCCAGACUCCUACGGGAGGCAGCAGUGGGGAAUAUUGCACAAUGGGCGGAAGCCUGAUGCAGCAACGCCGCGUGCGGGAUGACGGCCUUCGGGUUGUAAACCGCUUUCGCCUGUGACGAAGCGUGAGUGACGGUAAUGGGUAAAGAAGCACCGGCUAACUACGUG
rnacentral:rRNA from 1 species